UACGGGGGGGGCAAGCGUUGUUCGGAAUUACUGGGCGUAAAGGGCUCGUAGGUGGCCAACUAAGUCAGACGUGAAAUCCCUCAGCUUAACUGGGGAACUGCGUCUGAUACUGGAUGGCUUGAGUUUGGGAGAGGGAUGCGGGAUUCCAGGUGUAGCGGUGAAAUGCGUAGAUAUCUGGAGGAACACCGGUGGCGAAGGCGGCAUCCUGGACCAACACUGACACUGAUGAGCGAAAGCCAGGGGAGCAAACGGG
rnacentral:rRNA from 1 species